UACGGAGGGUGCAAGCGUUAAUCGGAAUUACUGGGCGUAAAGCGUGCGCAGGCGGUUUGUUAAGUCUGUUGUGAAAUCCCCGAGCUCAACUUGGGAAUUGCAAUGGAUACUGGCAGGCUGGAGUAUGGUAGAGGAAGGUGGAAUUCCCGGUGUAGCAGUGAAAUGCGUAGAGAUCGGGAAGAACAUCGGUGGCGAAAGCGCUCUACUGGACCGCAACUGACACUCAGGGACGAAAGCUAGGGGAGCGAAUGGG
rnacentral:rRNA from 1 species